UUCUUCCGGCCUUUUGCGCUUUCGUCCUCCACGCGCGAGCAGUUCGCUGCCUUCUUGGGCGAGAGGGAAAGUGAACAAGGCUUCUACCAGACCUCACUGGCUAGCGUGGGAAGCAUCUGAGCACAAAUGUGGAUCACUGAAGACAGUACUGGAAGCGCCAUUUGCAGGUAGAGAUUGCAGUCAUCAUUAAAUGAGCCAGAAGGAUACGGUUUCGAUCACUAAGGAUUCUAAAUCUUCAUACCAGCAUUAGAAUUGAACCACUUCCAAAUCCUAAGACACAUAAGACCAAAGAGAAGCAAUAGCCAUACAAAUUAAUAUGUGCCCCUCUCCUUUUGCUCUAAGGGAAUCUUCAAACCAGUAUCACAUUUAAGAGUCAAAGUGUUAAUUCUUCAGCAUUCCUGACAACUAGAAAGCACAUUCACUGAAGGCUGAAGGUGAGGGAGCGGAUGGUUGAGUAUCUGUGGAGAAUGGCGCCAACAGAGGAAAGAAAACCAUCCAAUCUCAGUAACCACACCUCUGAAACAGGACACACUUGGUGCUAAAGCCAGCACAAGCCCAACAAGCCAAUUCUAUUGUGUACAAAGAACUCUUAAAGAUAAGAAAACAGAAUUUAAGAAUGGGCAAAAGAUCUCAACAAAGAUAUGCUGAUGGCAAAAAAGCAUAUGAAAAGACACUUAACAUCAUAUGUCGUUCAGGAACUGCGAAUCAAAACAAUGAUGUCCCUACACAUCUAUUAAAAUGGCUAAAAUCCAAAACACUGACAAUACCAAACAGGGGUAAGGAUGUGGAGAAACAACUCUCAUUUUUUUGCUGGUGGGAAUACAAAAUAGGAUAACCACUUGGAAAGACAGCUUGGCAGGUUUUUGUUCUUGUUUUUUUAACAAAGCUUUCCAUAUGAUCCAGCAAUCACACUCCUAGACAUUUACCCAAUUGAGAUUAAAAUUUAUGUCCACACAAAAACCUGUACAAGAUUUACAGGAGCUUUAUUCCUAACUGCCAGAAACUAGAAGCAACCAAAAUGUCCUUCAAUAGGUGACUGAAUAAACUGUAGUACAUUCAGACAAUGGAAUAUUAUUCAGUGAUGAAAAGAAAUAAAAUGAGCUAUCAAGCCAUGAAAAGAUGUGAAGGAACCUUAAGUGCAUAUUGCUAAGUGAAAGAAGCUAGUCUGAAAAGACUCCAUACUAUAUGAUUCCAAAUAUAUGACAUUCUGGAAAACAGAAAACUUAUAAAGGCAAUAGAAUAGUGGUUGCCAGGGAUUUGAGGGAUGGAAGUAAGGGAGUAGUGAUGAAUAGGUGAAGCAGAGGGGAUUUUUAGAGCAGUGAAUGAUACUACAAUGGUGGAAACAUUCAUCAAAACCUAUAAUUGUACAACACAAAGAAUAACCCUUAAUAUAAAAUAUGAACUUAAGCUAAUAAAGUAUCAGUACUGGUUCAUUAACUAUAACAAAUGUAACCACACUAAAGCAAGAUUUUACUAGAAGAAACUUAGAAGGGAGGGAAGUAUACAGGAACUCUGUAUUAUCUAAAAUUUUCUGUAAAUCUAAAAAUGUUCUUUAAAAAGGCUUAAUUUUUUUAAAAGUUUUAUGUAAUAUUUAGCUUUAUUAUUUACAAAGGAAUGAAUUUAAUAGUAUUGUGUGUAACUUUAAAUAUUUACUGACAAUUUAGAUGAUAUGUCCUAGGAAUAGACUAGGUCAGUCAUAAAGAGACUAGGUAAGGCAUAAAGCCAUUUCUGACCAUCUCCCCUUCCUUUACACCACAGUUUUUAGUCACUAGAAACUGUUAACCACUCCUUCAACAUAUCUACAUAAUUCUCACUGUUUUUCUUAAAAAAACAAAACCAAGCCUCUUUAGAUUAUGUUAGUUGCUGCAAAUUUGAAAAACAUAGAAAAGCAUAAAGAAAAAUAAAAAGUACCCAGAGAUAACCACCACUACUACAUCCCAGCUGUGCUACAUACAAGCUGGAUGACUUUGGACAAGUUAUCUGAUCUCUCUGUGCCUCAGUUUCCUCAACUGGAAAAGUCUGGGAAUCAAAGAUUUAAGUCUGUCACUAAACCCCAGCAAAAUUUUAGAGUAGUUAAUUAAACAGAUUACUUACAUGUCUGCACUUAAACUUCACUGGCCUAUAAAGGCAAGUCUAUAGAACACCAACUGGAUUUCAGAGAUUUGUUCAGAAUCUCCAAAUUGUCUGCAAACUUGAUCCUGGUCUAUGCUUGAUAUGAUUUUCUCUCCCAUCUAGAAAUCUUGGCUCAGUAACCUCUAAUCCUUACAUCGCCUUUAAAAACCUCAUUUACUUUUGUAAUACUGUCUGGUUGUGAAACCUUUUAUUAUGAAAACCAGUAUUCUGAAAACUUGAUUCAGAAUUAAAAACAAAUUUUAAGUUCUAGAAAGCUUCUAGAACUUGUAUAUAAUUAAAUGAAUAAAUACUGACUAAAACUUUCUAAUUAAAAAACUCUACCCAAAAAUGUGCUAAUAAGGGCUUCCCUGGUGGCGCAGUGGUUGAGAGUCCGCCUGCCAAUGCAGGGGACACGGGUUUGUGCCCUGGUCUGGGAAGAUCCCACAUGCCGCGGAGCGGCUGGGCCCAUGAGCCAUGGCCACUGAGCCUGCGCGUCCGGAGCCUGUGCUCUGCAACGGGAGAGGCCGCAACAGUGAGAGGCCCGUGUACCGCAAAAAAAAAAAAAAAAAAAAAAAAGUGCUAAUAAGUAAAUCCAGAGUUUUGAAGAUGUGAGGUUUUAUAUUUGCAAAAAUAUGGUAUUAUUAUUAUUAUGGCAAAUUUCAUUAAAUGAGUUUUGGGUUCCCAAUUCUAGCCACUUAAAUUAUACCUCCUUACAAGAUCAGAGGAAUUUAAGGUGCUGUUUUCUGAUGCAACCACUCAUCUUUGGAGAUUUAAGACCACCAUAGUGGUAUUUCACUACUGAUGCAAGUUUCUCCAAAGAUAGUAAUUUGCACCAAAAAGCAAAACAGAGGACCUGGGCUGUAUAGGAGUUGGAAAGUCAUAUUACUUUGAGAAAAGCACUGCAAGAAUUAUUUCCUCAGGAAAGUCUGAAGACUUGAAAAGAUGACUGGAAAACAGGCACAAUUCUACGGUUAAAGUCUGGAACUGGCUCCAAUGGGUGGUGUAUUUUAAACACUUGGAUAAAGCAAUCACUGGUCACUGACGCUAGCUGGCUUUUGUGGCAGAAAAGGCUUCCAUUAAGAAAAUUUUCUGGGUAAGGAAAUUUAGUCCAUAAGAAUUUACUAUCUGGAAAAGUGAAUUAUAUUUCUCAAAUAUUUCUUCUGAUGAAAAACAAACUCACUGUGUCUUAAACCAUCUCUCUCGGGACUUCCCUGGUGGCGCAGUGGUUAAGAAUCCGCCUGCCAAUGCAGGGAAUACAGGUUCGAGCCCUGGUCCGGGAAGAUCCCACAUGCCGUGGAGCAACUAAGCCCAUGCACGACAACUACUGAGCCUGUGCUCUAGAGCCCGCAAGCCACAACUACUGAGCCCACAUGCCACAACUACCGAAGCCCACGUGCCUAGAGCCUGUGCUCCGCAACAAAAGAGGCCACCACAAUGAGAAGCCCGUGCACCACAACAAAGAGUAGCCCCGGCUCGCCCCGACUAGAGAAAGCCCGCACGCAGCAACAAAGACCCAACACAGCCAAAACUAAAUAAAAAUAAAUAAAUAAAGCCAUCCCUCUCAAA